AAAUACCUGCUUAAUUAUUUCAUAGUAGGAGCAAACAUGCCUUAAUAAAAGGAGCACAUUUGAAACUUUAGUAACCAUAAAAAGUACACCAAGUGGAUGCCUUUCUACUCCAGGAAGCCGCAGCAUACGGCCUGAAGGAGGAAGGACGCGGUCAGUUUGAAAUCUGGGCCAGUUCUGCAGAUGAUCAGAUGGAGUUCGCCAUCAUCACAUCCCUCAUUGCUGCAGUCAGACUGAAACAGGACGGUGAUGCAUGGCAGUCAAUGCCCGAGAUACGGAUGAUGAAGAGACCACAGCAACAUCUGGUCCAGAUGAGGACACAAGGGCAGGUGGACUGAUGCAGGGUCUCGUUUAAUUCACUACAGGAGAACAGGAGUGGCCAAACUCAGUCCAGAACUGCUGCUGUCUUGCAGAGUUUAGUUGAAGUUGACUCUAAACUUCACCAGCCAUCCAGAACUAAGUUUGGGCACCCCUGCAUUACAGCUUUUCAAGGAUGCUGCUGUGGACUUCUUUACACUCACCACACACACCAAUCUGC
rnacentral:lncRNA from 1 species